CAUAGCGAUGAAUCUGAAUUUCUAGGGUUUCAACUACAGACUACAGACGAAGCUCUCAUCUCUCUGAGGCGAGUUGGAAAGGGCGCAAGGUUGAGAAAGUCUUCGGACAUCGGCGACUUGGAAACUAGAAAUUGAAACUUAGUGCAAAAUUCAUUCUGUUCUUGUGAAUUUGAGCUGUUCUUUAAUUUCCAAGUCCACCCAUGCCCGCUGAUUUUCUCAUCUCUUCUACCUUUUCCUUCUCCCUCGCCUCCAUCAUCACGUAUCUUAUAUUGUGUAUAAUUUUGUAUGAAGUUUGUGAAAUCAAGAUAAUGGAAUGAUGAAAUUGUACAUAACCUACUCUUAAUGUAUUAUCUACUUGCAGUAAUAUAGAGGUGCGUGUUUAAAUUCUUGGUCCCUCUUUGGAAUAAGCGUGUAUAAAUUUACCUUUUUGUGGAGCAUUUGGUUAACUGGUAGAAGAAACUUUUAGGUUUCAUUUGGGACUAGAGCUUUCUAUGGAGAGGUCUAAGCUUUGGCAAGGUCUUUAGUACCGUCGUCUACAUUUUUGUAAAUGGCUUUUAUCUCUUGUUCCUUAUUAUUGGAAUCCUUUUUGUUGUUGUUGUUUAGGGUGUCAUCUUUUUCAUUGGGUAUAAAUUCCUUUGAUAGUGGACUCCCAGUUUCACCUAUGUUGUUACAAAGAAGAUUUGGAAGAUACUGUUGAACAUGUUAGUUACUUAAGCCUUUAUUGUUUACACUGUCUUAUGUUAUUUGCAUGCAGUAUUACCAUCGAUGUUUCCUCUUAAUUACUUUGCCCCAUUUAUUAGGAGGGGUUGUCAAGUUUGUAACUAGUCAUUAUCACGUGACUUACCAUGGGGGACAUCAACGAUUGUAAUGAAGAUUUCUAUUUUUAGUUUAAUUUUUUUUUUCACGUUUUAUAUAAUUUAAAACUUAGAAAUAUUUGGAUUAGUUUGUUUUGGGUUGGUUUUGUCACAUUCUACCAAACAUCUUCUGUCCUGUUUCUGAUGGUUCGAUUGAUUAAUCUCUAGGUUUUGCUUUGGUUAUGGUAAGUUGAUUUUCAUUGGGUUUUAGUUGUUUUUAAAAUAAAUAUUUAGUGCAAGUCACACAUUUAAUUAAUAACCUGAAUGUAACAAUGGAUCCCCAUUUGGAUGGAAAUAAUUUAUGGAUUAGGUUGAUGUUUUGCUUUGUUGGGGGUUUUAUGAAAAGUUUUUGAGAAAAUUUAUUUGUUGUUCAAGAAUUUUAAGAACAUGGCAUAAGGAUUCUGUGGUGGUGUUUGGUCAAGGGAGUGAAGUUGUUUUACCUAGGGCCAUGAAGUUUGAGUAAUUGUGCUAGGCGUGAAGUUUGUCUGGGCUGUAGGAUUGUGUUACCUAGAGUUAUGUACAAUCAGGGAAGUUCCAUUAACUUCAGAACUGUCUCUCUCUGUGUCUAACAAAGACUUGGUUUUUCUUUUUUGUCAAUGCUAGAAUUAAGAUGUAAAACUUAUUUUUAUUUUUUAUUUUAUUAAUGUUUCAUAAAAUUAAUGUAUAAGGACUAUUUAUUUAUUUUCCUUUUCCUGGCAUAGUAGUAUUUGAAAAAUACAUUAGUCACAAUUACUUAAAAGGAUACAACCUUAAUAAUUUGAAAGAAAGGAUGAUUAGGCCUCAUUGACCUGGUAGAAGAGAGACAAUAGGAAAGCCAAAAGAAAUAUGGAGAGAAAUUUCAGAGAAGCAAUGAAGAAGAAGAGAAAGCUGUGCUUAAAGUUUUCAGUAAGAGGAAGUGGUGGUAAGAGCCUCAAAGAAGUGGACGAAUCUCCAGAGAAGAGAAUGGGAUACAGCUAUUGAAUAGAGAAGAGAGUGAUACUGCAGGGAGAAAGAACGGGAGAAACCUCAAGGUGCAUAGAGGGCCGUGUGGAUUGCACCAACAGAAUACUGUUGUGGUUGAAUAGGGUGAAAGGAAAUGCUGAGGGUUUAACAACCUUGCAGGGCCACACAUAGGAGUUGGCUUAAGAACACACUACAAUUGGUAGUCCACACAGGACCCGUGAAAUUCAUUGAAAACUAAACAAUUCAAAUCCUUUGAAAACACAAGGUAGAGUUUUUUCUCAGUUGGAAAACAAGAAAUUUGUGGGUAUUCAGACAAAUGUGUGUAAUUUUCCUCAAUAGUGGGUUUUCUUUUUGAGUUAUAUCAUUGUCAAUGAAAGUAAGUUCUUUUGGCAUUGGGGAAACUAGUGCUAGUGCCUGCAUUUUGUAUUUGUGAUAUCCUCAGCCUUUACAACUAUGAUGAUUGAAGCAAAAGAUUCCAUCCCCUUUGGAAUCUGUGUGUCAUGUCAACAAAGUCCAAUGACACAUCUAUUUUCUUGGAUUUUGAGUUUAACCCACUCCUACACCUUUAUCUGCACAGGGAA